rnacentral:rRNA from 1 species
CAGCAGCCGCGGGAAUACGAAGGGUGCAAGCGUUAAUCGGAAUUACUGGGCGUAAAGCGUGCGUAGGCGGUUUGUUAAGUCUGUUGUGAAAUCCCCGGGCUCAACCUGGGAAUGGCAAUGGAUACUGGCAAGCUAGAGUGUGUCAGAGGAUGGCGGAAUUCCCGGUGUAGCGGUGAAAUGCGUAGAGAUCGGGAGGAACAUCAGUGGCGAAGGCGGCCAUCUGGGACAACACUGACGCUGAGGCACGAAAGCGUGGGGAGCAAACAGGAUUAGAUACCCCUGUAGUCCCUGUCUCUUAUAC